UUAAAAUUAAAUGGCGAUUGUCGGUAUGGUCGCUUUUGAACCUAAACUCUAUAUACAAUAUAUAUAAAGUGACUAGACCGAACACUCGUGCUAUAAUUUUAAAAU
rnacentral:pre_miRNA from 13 species